rnacentral:rRNA from 1 species
UACGUAGGGUGCAAGCGUUGUCCGGAAUUAUUGGGCGUAAAGAGCUUGUAGGCGGUUUGUCGCGUCUGCUGUGAAAUUUCGGGGCUCAACCCCGAACUUGCAGUGGGUACGGGCAGACUAGAGUGUGGUAGGGGAGACUGGAAUUCCUGGUGUAGCGGUGAAAUGCGCAGAUAUCGAGAGGAACACCUGCGGCGAAGGCGGGUUGCUGGGCUGACACUGACGCUGAUGCGCGAAAGCCAGGGGAGCGAACGGG